GCCAUAGCUCAGUAGCAGAGCACACCUGCUUUACCUGCAGAAAGUCCCAGGUUCAGUCCCUGGUGUCUCCA